UGCAAAACAGAGAGACAUUCAGCCACCCUGGACAAGCCUAGUGCUUUUGUGUUUGUCUAUGACAUACAUUUCCGUAAGUGGAGAGCGGAAACAAAGGACAUGUAUACUAAAUGGCUCGAGGGAUACCACCAACCUGCCUUCCGCGAUGAACAGUAACGUUCACCUGGAGUCUGCAAACCCGCAGACUCACUGAGAGGACCUGCAAGGAAGAAGGGGAGAGAGAGACUGAGAAACGGAGACACAAAUCUCUCAUGUGCCAAAAAUGAAGUACAGGAGUCGAGGCCCGAACAGAGGAUAUCAGACAUGGCCCUUGGGCCUGAGGAAGGAGAUUCAUGCUAAAUGGGGCCAGAAGGUGAUGCCCAAAGAACAAGGCAAAGGAGUUAGCACAAGAGUCUCUGACCUCACCAUUCCUGCUUCUGCCUCGAGUAUCUGUAUGUCCUCGCGUCCGAGGACAUGUCCGGCCUCAGACCUCCAGAAUCCUGUGUGCGUGUUUGAAAGGAAGAAUGAACGGCCCACUUUUGAGAGCAUGUGGCGAGACACGAUUCCUCUCUUACUUGGUAUUUCAUAUGAAAUACAAAAAGACACCUUACCACACAAACAGCAGAAAUGUAGUCUAUUUUGCCUUUAUGGACAUCUGUUCUCAGACUACUGGUUGUUUACCUGCUAUAAUAAAGGCUAAUUUCUAUAUUAAAGUAAUACUAAGUAUAAUUAGAAUGGUUUCUAAGUACCCCAACACACAAAAAAACGAGAAGUUUCCAGAAGAAAUGGAGGGCAGUGAGAUUUGGCCACAUUGUUGUACACGCAUCUAGUAAUCUGUUUGCUCUUUGGCUUGAACUCCUUAGAUUUUUGCUUUUCCCUUUUGGAUAGAGAAUGUUUGCAUAAAUAAUAGCGUAUCCACGGGACAGAACUAGCCGGUACAAAAAAUGAUGUUUUUGAACAGAUAGUUCACAAAAAAAAAAAAAACACCAUAAACAAAAUAAAUUAAUAAAAUUCCAUUUUCUUCCA
rnacentral:lncRNA from 1 species